CUAUCUCUGGGAUGUUUGCCAAUGGGUCUAUUCCCCUGAGCCGAUAUCAUCACUUUAGGAUGGUGUUUUGUAUAUUUAGCGUGUAAGCCUGCCUUGAGUAGGAAACCCAAUGAUAUGCGGCACCCUCCACCUUGAACUUUAGGGUUCAAGGGCUAUGACUUGUAGCGGCAUCUUCGGAGUAUU
rnacentral:other from 1 species